GUAAACACUAUGGAAACUGGAGAAUGUUCUGGGUCUCCACUUUUUCUUUUUUUUUUUUUUUUUCAAUAGAAGAAACCAGUAAGGGAGGUGGCAGUUCAAGAGUGAACACAAGGCUCUCUGUUUACCAGCUUACCCCCACAGGGUUUGCUGCUGGUGGUAUCAGUCAGUGCUCAAAAGAACAUACUGAAAUAUCUGGUCUGAUUUCAUGAACUAAAAAUGGUUCAAAACUCCAUGGAAGAAGGCAUCUUUCAGUUAAGUGUAUAUUUGGGAAGACUAUUUUGGUAUCUAAUGAAUAAUAGAGAACAUUGAUUUAAACUGCUGUUUUUGUGCCAGCAGUUUGGAAACCUAGGGAGCUGCGCCUCUGCCCAGGAAGUCAUAGCAAAGGCCUUUUGAUGUUGAGGGGCACCCUGCCUGAAAGCCUACAGAAUCAUUAAUUAAAAGCCUCCAGCUUCUCUCCUAUAUUGCAAUUCCAUAGCUCUUACAGAGUCAUUGCUGCCUUUCUCCUUUUGCCUGAGGAUGUCAGAAGCAUGUUAAGAAGGAUAAACACCCACUGAUUUAUUUACAUUAAAUAAUACCCUGCUCACUCCCAGCAGCCAAUAAAAUCAGUGGGCUUUGGAAACCAGUCACAUGACAGCACCCUAGCAACUCCUUUCUGAAGUAGGGUUCAUGGCUGGAAAAAUAAGUACAGAAGAGCAGCCAACACACAUUCUUUUGUGAGACCUGCCACUGAAUCAACCCUGGGUACUCUGGGGGAGGGUUCAUGACAGUGGGAACUUUAUUUAACCUUUCUAUUAAUGUUUCUAUUGGCCUGUGUUAUCUCUUGCAAUGUCAAGUGCACGGUUAAUUAACCCUUUCUUGGCCUAUGCCACCUCUCUUUUCAGAUUGUAAGCUCCUUAAAUGCUAGAUUGGAGUUACUCAUUCAUUCAUUUACAGCCCAGAUAUUUAAUGCCUACCUGCUACAGGUGUGAGCUUUUGCUAAGCCCUGGGCGGUGCAAAGAUGAGGAAGACAUACUCCUUGCUUCUGGGACGCUCACAAUCUUCUAGAAGUCUCUUCCCAGUCUGAUGAUCUUAUUCAGAACUGGGUCUUCCAAGGUUAUUGGCACAAAAAUCACUCAGGAAGUCACUGAACAAACCCUGGUUGAUUGAGAAGGGGUUCAGGCUGUGAACCUAGAAUGGUGUCAUGAGACUACGGUGUGCCAUACAUUUUUGCUGAUGAGCUCUGAGUAAAUUACCAGACAAUUUCUCCAGACCUCUUGGAUAUUUAGAAAUUUAAUUCCUUCCUUUCUUAGAUCCUUUCUGGAUCUGGGAAUGGAAUUUCUUUUAGGGUUGAGGACAGUUAUUCUGGCCCCACAAUAACUUGGGCUACACAUUCUUUAGGAAGUAGGCUUGCUUUUCAUAUGGACAAAAAAAUUUUCACCAACAAAGGGGCACAGGAAAGGGGAGGAAGUCAAGGAAAGCAACAUUUCCUGAGUGCCCACUCAUGGCUUCCCCUCAUUUAGUGAACUACCACCCCAGGAAAACAGCAACACUCAUGUGCAAAGAGAUGUGCAUUUAGGUUUGGGUCUAGGGGUCAGUGGGUGAUAUAUCACCACACACACACACACACACACACACUCAUACACACACGUGUAUAUAAUUAUGCUGUAUUUAUAAUUUAAAAUUAAAUGACUUAUAAACUACUCUGCUAUGAGCCUAAAGAAUUAGAAGCCACGAUCUAUGCCCUCGAGAGUGCAAGAAAGAGAGAGAGAGAGAGAGAGAGAGAGAGAGAGAGAGAGAAUAAGAAACACAUUCAAAGUUAAAUAGCCACAUGAAAAUUAUGUAACAGUACAGAGAGGAUUUUAGAGCUGGCUGGAUUCACAGCAAACAUUUAAACCAGAGUUUCCUAAAAUAGUGUGUAAACAUCAUUGAUGGCAUGAAAGAUGAUUUGAAUAUAAACAGCUUAAAAUUUCAUUAGGCAUUUAUUUUAACAUGCAUUAGAAAAAUCUAGACCUAGCAUAUCAAGCCCUUGUGUACAUGAAUAUUACUGCUUACUUUGAGGUUACCAAAAAGAUUUAAAGAUUAUCUAAAGGAAAGUAUUAAGUAAGUAGCUGUAUAGAAGAUGUGGAACAGGGACAUGGCAAAGAGUCUGCAGGUGUCAUUCGAAUGGCCUGAGUCUGGGAGAGGCAGACCAAAUUCAAUCUCUGGGAUGAAGAGAGGUUCAGCUAGUUGCUCAAGGUCACGGAGCUAGUGGAGAUCAUAGACCAGAAUGUGGUCACCUGACUGAUCCUCUGCUCCCACAUCCUCCUUCACUCACUACUUCCUAUUUUGCAGAUGAGGAAAUUGUAAUCUGAAUAACAAGUUGCCUCUUUUGAAUAUGACUAUCACAAAAAUCUGACUGCAAAGUAGAAAGCAUUGAGUUGGCUUCAUGAAAAAUGAACUUUAAUAUUUAUAGAGUGCUUACUAUGCAUGCCAGUAUUACAAAGAUUUCAUACAUAAUAAUUUAUGGUAAUCCCCACACCAUUCUGUGGGAUGCACUUAGAUUAUUUCUACCAUCUCUCUUGUCAUAUGAGCAAAACAAGGAGCAAAGAUCAAGUAGCUUUCUUAGGUCACUAUUUGCAUAGAUGGGAUUUGAACCCAGGUAGUCCAGCUCCAGAAUUUGUCCACUCAACCAUGACCACAUUCCUCACCAAUAAGUGAAGAGGUGAAAGGGCAACUUGUUUACCUGGUGGCAUUGCAAAAACUCUGUUCAGACAAUAUGGUACGUUCCUGUCCCCUCCUGCCUUGAAUUUUCCAACGGGUGCCUUGCUCCACUCUAUGGAACGUGUGGGUUUUCCACACCAUCACUUUUCAAUGUGCAGAGAUUCUUGAGAGGUAUCCCUGAGCGCCAAGAGCAAUCCUUUUAUAAAGACAAUCUGUGAGUUUACUAUGAUGAGAACUAUAAAGAAACAGUCCCACCUCCAAGGUUGAGAGGCAAAGUAUCCAUAGGUGGUGACUGGACGGAGAGGUAGUUGGGGGACAUGGUGGGGCUGAGAGUGACAGGAGAGGAGGCCCAGGGAGGACUAGCCCAGUGCUCCACAGGGGGCCACCAGGUGUUGAGAAAGCCCUGCUGGGUGCCUAGCACUUGGCACGGCACCUGGUAUGAAGCAGGUGCUCAGAGCUAUGUGGAGCGCAUGGGAGCCUGGGUGCAAACAGAGCCCAGCAGGGAGGCGGGCAGCAGGGCAGAGACUGGAGGUGAGAGAGCACCGAACACACUUGACCUACUUUAUAACUUCGCUCCAGGUAAGCCCUAGGAGGACAGCACAGUGCCAAAUUUCCAGUCAACAGACAAAAGACCUUUGCCCAAACCACAGACAGCAUUCCUGCUGUGGCUGGAACUUUGAGGAAGUCCGCUUUGUGUUGGUUACCCUUCAAAGGGGCCUCUGUUCAGGCUUCUGGCCCACUCUGCCUUAGCUUGACAGUCUCCGUUCUUCCUCCCUGCAGGGUGCUUCAGGGUAGGCCAUGGCCAUCUGGGACCUGUCACCAGCCUCCUCUGCACUGGUGCCACAAGAGGAUCAGCCUGUGGCACUUCUGUCUAUCUCUCCAGCAGGUGCUGACAGCCAAGCCAUUCCACACACCUUUGGGACAAAGCACUGCCCAGCAGCCAGGGCCAAGUUCAGAGCCUGAACAUUCUUUCACAGGCUCGGUGGAGAACCUGGAGGGCCUGAUGGCUCAUUAUAUAAGCUGCACGUUGGGGACAAACCACUGAUGGGCAGACCCUGGUGCUCCUGGAAUUGCGUAAGCUGCUACCCUCCUGUUGGUCAUUGUUCAUGCAUGUCCCUGGGUUCCCUCAUUUGGCACGAGGCUGAAACCAUCAUGGUCCACUUCCGGAAUGCAUUUUCUGUUUCUCACCUGCAUGGUGAGUGCCUUCAGACAAGGACUGAGCUUUGUACUUCUCUGCUUCAACAUCGGCUAGAACAGAUUUUACACACUGAGCCUCCAUUGCUGUUAGUCCAUCAUGUGACCCAUCCUACAGUUUCCCCACAAACUCCAAGCACCUCCUUACCACAUGCAAGGACUUGGUGGUGGUUCUCAAGAAAUUGCCAUUCUAGUUGGUAAGGGAAGCAGACAGAAAGAGCUGAGAUGAGCUGGUGACACCUUCUGCUCCUGCACCAUGAGAUCCUGUUCUCUUCUAUCCUCUCUGCCCCAGUCUGUUUGAUAUUGAAAUGGAAAGAUGCCGCAGUCUGGCUGGGCACAAUCAGGAGCCACUUGUCAAAAGAAACUAACUUUAUUUUUAGAACCACACACGCCAAACAAAACAGCCUCUCAGGAAAAACCCUAUAGAGCCUCAACUGCCACCACCGGCUUUCCACAAGCCUCUCUCUCCCACACAAGCUUCUCUCCACCUCCCACAAUCCUCCUGCUCUUGAGGCCGAUUGGCUGGGUCACGUGGGCGGAGCCAAAAAAGUCCCCCAAUGAGCAGCUCCGUGGUCUGAAAGGGCAGGGAAACAGCCCAAUGAGCAUCACCGCAGAGGAGCCAAUCAGCUAGAUGUUGCUGGGGCCGAGGAGCCAAUCAGCUAGAUGUUGCUGGGGCCGCUGUGAGCCAAUCAUCAGCCAGCAGCUGGAAGUUUGCUGGCAGCUGGAAGUUUGCUGGGGCCCCUUUGGCUGUGGCUCUCAACAGAAAGAUGGUGAGAAUAGAAGCUGGUAGACUGGCAGUCAAGACUUGACAUGAAACAUCUUCAGCAGUCACUUGAUAAGUGUUUGCACUGUGAAGUGUUCUAGCAACCUCAUAACUCACACUGGCAACUCCUAUAAACACCCUCUCUUCUGUUUUCCUUCACUCUGCAACUUCUCAUUCCACCAUUGAUGGAUUAACUCAGUUUAGUGUUUAUCAGAUGGACUCAGUGCCAUUCUUAUAGAGACCAAGUCAAAAAGAACAAACAAUUAUUUAUCAAAUGAAUGCCAUUUAAAAGUAUUGUGCUGGUCAUAGUAUUAGGCAUAAAGAAGAAAUAAGCUGUCA